rnacentral:rRNA from 1 species
AGGACGAACGCUGGCGGCGUGCCUAAUACAUGCAAGUAGAACGCUGAAGGAGGAGCUUGCUCUUCUGGAUGAGUUGCGAACGGGUGAGUAACGCGUAGGUAACCUGCCUGGUAGCGGGGGAUAACUAUUGGAAACGAUAGCUAAUACCGCAUAAGAGUAGAUGUUGCAUGACAUUUGCUUAAAAGGUGCAAUUGCAUCACUACCAGAUGGACCUGCGUUGUAUUAGCUAGUUGGUGAGGUAACGGCUCACCAAGGCGACGAUACAUAGCCGACCUGAGAGGGUGAUCGGCCACACUGGGACUGAGACACGGCCCAGACUCCUACGGGAGGCAGCAGUAGGGAAUCUUCGGCAACGGACGGAAGUCUGACCGAGCAACGCCGCGUGAGUGAAGAAGGUUUCGGAUCGUAAAGCUCGUGUUGUAAGAGUAAGAACGAGUGUAGAGAGUGGAAAGUUCACACUGUGACGGUAUCUUACCAGUAAAGGACGACUAACUACG